GGAGCCGUAGGUUAACGGUAAGCCACGACUCUUAUAAAGUCGAUUCGAUGGUCCGACUCCAUCCGGCUCCACCA
rnacentral:tRNA from 1 species